rnacentral:rRNA from 1 species
UACGUAGGGGGCUAGCGUUGUCCGGAAUCAUUGGGCGUAAAGCGCGUGUAGGCGGUCCGGUAAGUCCGCUGUGAAAGUCGAGGGCUCAACCCUCGAAUGCCGGUGGAUACUGUCGGGCUAGAGUGCGGAAGAGGCGAGUGGAAUUCCUGGUGUAGCGGUGAAAUGCGUAGAUAUCGGGAAGAACACCUGUGGCGAAGGCGGCUCUCUGGGACGGUACUGACGCUGAGACGCGAAAGCGUGGGGAGCAAACAGG